CCUACGGGGGGCAGCAGUGGGGAAUCUUGCGCAAUGGGCGAAAGCCUGACGCAGCAACGCCGCGUGCGGGAUGAAGGCCCUCGGGUCGUAAACCGCUUUCAGCAGGGAUGAAACUGACAGUACCUGCAGAAGAAGCCCCGGCUAAAUACGUGCCAGCAGCCGCGGUAAUACGUAUGGGGCAAGCGUUAUCCGGAUUUAUUGGGCGUAAAGCGCGCGUAGGCGGCUUGUUAAGUCAGAUGUGAAAUCCGGGGGCUCAACCCGCGGCUUGCAUCUGAAACUGGCAGGCUUGAGUCUGGUAGAGGAAAGUGGAAUUCCUGGUGUAGCGGUGAAAUGCGCAGAUAUCAGGAGGAACACCAGUGGCGAAGGCGGCUUUCUGGGCCACGACUGACGCUGAGGCGCGAAAGCUAGGGGAGCGAACAGGAUUAGAUACCCUGGUAGUC
rnacentral:rRNA from 1 species